rnacentral:rRNA from 1 species
UUCGACACACUAUCAUUAACUGAAUCCAUAGGUUAAUGAGGCGAACCGGGGGAACUGAAACAUCUAAGUACCCCGAGGAAAAGAAAUCAACCGAGAUUCCCCCAGUAGCGGCGAGCGAACGGGGAGCAGCCCAGAGCCUGAAUCAGUGUGUGUGUUAGUGGAAGCGUCUGGAAAGGCGCGCGAUACAGGGUGACAGCCCCGUACACAAAAAUGCACAUGCUGUGAGCUCGAUGAGUAGGGCGGGACACGUGGUAUCCUGUCUGAAUAUGGGGGGACCAUCCUCCAAGGCUAAAUACUCCUGACUGACCGAUAGUGAACCAGUACCGUGAGGGAAAGGCGAAAAGAACCCCGGCGAGGGGAGUGAAAAAGAACCUGAAACCGUGUACGUACAAGCAGUGGGAGCCUCUUUAUGGGGUGACUGCGUACCUUUUGUAUAAUGGGUCAGCGACUUAUAUUCUGUAGCAAGGUUAACCGAAUAGGGGAGCCGAAGGGAAACCGAGUCUUAACUGGGCGUUAAGUUGCAGGGUAUAGACCCGAAACCCGGUGAUCUAGCCAUGGGCAGGUUGAAGGUUGGGUAACACUAACUGGAGGACCGAACCGACUAAUGUUGAAAAAUUAGCGGAUGACUUGUGGCUGGGGGUGAAAGGCCAAUCAAACCGGGAGAUAGCUGGUUCUCCCCGAAAGCUAUUUAGGUAGCGCCUCGUGAAUUCAUCUCCGGGGGUAGAGCACUGUUUCGGCAAGGGGGUCAUCCCGACUUACCAACCCGAUGCAAACUGCGAAUACCGGAGAAUGUUAUCACGGGAGACACACGGCGGGUGCUAACGUCCGUCGUGAAGAGGGAAACAACCCAGACCGCCAGCUAAGGUCCCAAAGUCAUGGUUAAGUGGGAAACGAUGUGGGAAGGCCCAGACAGCCAGGAUGUUGGCUUAGAAGCAGCCAUCAUUUAAAGAAAGCGUAAUAGCUCACUGGUCGAGUCGGCCUGCGCGGAAGAUGUAACGGGGCUAAACCAUGCACCGAAGCUGCGGCAGCGACGCUUAUGCGUUGUUGGGUAGGGGAGCGUUCUGUAAGCCUGUGAAGGUGUGCUGUGAGGCAUGCUGGAGGUAUCAGAAGUGCGAAUGCUGACAUAAGUAACGAUAAAGCGGGUGAAAAGCCCGCUCGCCGGAAGACCAAGGGUUCCUGUCCAACGUUAAUCGGGGCAGGGUGAGUCGACCCCUAAGGCGAGGCCGAAAGGCGUAGUCGAUGGGAAACAGGUUAAUAUUCCUGUACUUGGUGUUACUGCGAAGGGGGGACGGAGAAGGCUAUGUUGGCCGGGCGACGGUUGUCCCGGUUUAAGCGUGUAGGCUGGUUUUCCAGGCAAAUCCGGAAAAUCAAGGCUGAGGCGUGAUGACGAGGCACUACGGUGCUGAAGCAACAAAUGCCCUGCUUCCAGGAAAAGCCUCUAAGCAUCAGGUAACAUCAAAUCGUACCCCAAACCGACACAGGUGGUCAGGUAGAGAAUACCAAGGCGCUUGAGAGAACUCGGGUGAAGGAACUAGGCAAAAUGGUGCCGUAACUUCGGGAGAAGGCACGCUGAUAUGUAGGUGAAGUCCCUCGCGGAUGGAGCUGAAAUCAGUCGAAGAUACCAGCUGGCUGCAACUGUUUAUUAAAAACACAGCACUGUGCAAACACGAAAGUGGACGUAUACGGUGUGACGCCUGCCCGGUGCCGGAAGGUUAAUUGAUGGGGUUAGCGGUAACGCGAAGCUCUUGAUCGAAGCCCCGGUAAACGGCGGCCGUAACUAUAACGGUCCUAAGGUAGCGAAAUUCCUUGUCGGGUAAGUUCCGACCUGCACGAAUGGCGUAAUGAUGGCCAGGCUGUCUCCACCCGAGACUCAGUGAAAUUGAACUCGCUGUGAAGAUGCAGUGUACCCGCGGCAAGACGGAAAGACCCCGUGAACCUUUACUAUAGCUUGACACUGAACAUUGAGCCUUGAUGUGUAGGAUAGGUGGGAGGCUUUGAAGUGUGGACGCCAGUCUGCAUGGAGCCGACCUUGAAAUACCACCCUUUAAUGUUUGAUGUUCUAACGUUGACCCGUAAUCCGGGUUGCGGACAGUGUCUGGUGGGUAGUUUGACUGGGGCGGUCUCCUCCUAAAGAGUAACGGAGGAGCACGAAGGUUGGCUAAUCCUGGUCGGACAUCAGGAGGUUAGUGCAAUGGCAUAAGCCAGCUUGACUGCGAGCGUGACGGCGCGAGCAGGUGCGAAAGCAGGUCAUAGUGAUCCGGUGGUUCUGAAUGGAAGGGCCAUCGCUCAACGGAUAAAAGGUACUCCGGGGAUAACAGGCUGAUACCGCCCAAGAGUUCAUAUCGACGGCGGUGUUUGGCACCUCGAUGUCGGCUCAUCACAUCCUGGGGCUGAAGUAGGUCCCAAGGGUAUGGCUGUUCGCCAUUUAAAGUGGUACGCGAGCUGGGUUUAGAACGUCGUGAGACAGUUCGGUCCCUAUCUGCCGUGGGCGCUGGAGAACUGAGGGGGGCUGCUCCUAGUACGAGAGGACCGGAGUGGACGCAUCACUGGUGUUCGGGUUGUCAUGCCAAUGGCACUGCCCGGUAGCUAAAUGCGGAAGAGAUAAGUGCUGAAAGCAUCUAAGCACGAAACUUGCCCCGAGAUGAGUUCUCCCUGACUCCUUGAGAGUCCUGAAGGAACGUUGAAGACGACGACGUUGAUAGGCCGGGUGUGUAAGCGCAGCGAUGCGUUGAGCUAACCGGUACUAAUGAACCGUGAGGCUUAACCUUACAAC